UGGGCUUGACAAUUAUAACUCUAGGAUGUUUCAUAUACCAUACUUGGCUACAUCUGUUGUGGAAAAGAGGGAUGAUGUCAUUUUUUUCACCUCUUUCUGUAAAUAGAAUUUAUGUAGCACAUGUGGGCUUCCUCAAGAGAAAUUUAAAACCCCAAAUUGAUGGGAUGGUGAGACCUACCACCUCUCUCAAGCAUGUGUCUCUCCAAGUGACACACAUAAGACACUAUUUAAAGCAUGUACUUUGGAUGUGUGAGCCACUGCUCCUGGCCUUGCAGUUUUUAUAGUAUAAGUUGUCUCAGUCCGUUUUGUAUUGCUGUAAAGCAGGGGUCCCCAACCCCUGGGCCUAUUAGGAAUGG
ensembl:lncRNA novel transcript